UGGCAGUGCGGCAUCAUCCUCAGCCAGUGUGGAACUUUCUCUAGUUUCCCGACUUGAUGAUUUUAUAGGAGGAAGUGUCUCCAACAAGAAUGUUGUAACAGCUGCAAGGUCUAUGGCCAUCUCAAAUGAACAAUCAGUCUGCGAUAAAGUAACUCCAGCAGUUUCUAACAUGUUUCCAAGGAGACAGGCAUAACCAGGAUAUUCUGCUGAAACAUCAUUGGGCAGUACAUUAGCAUGACCCUGCACACAUAGUGCCAUCUGAUGAGUGUAAUGUCGGCUCAGCUCCCGACUUGCAAAGACCUCUUUUAAGCUUGGAAAAAGCUGCCAUAAGAAAGGAAUUGUCAGCAUCUGAGAGGA
rnacentral:misc_RNA from 1 species